GAUCCUGGCUCAGGAUGAACGCUAGCUACAGGCUUAACACAUGCAAGUCGAGGGGAAACGACAUCGAAAGCUUGCUUUUUGAUGGGCGUCGACCGGCGCACGGGUGAGUAACGCGUAUCCAACCUGCCCGUCACUUGGGAAUAACCUUGCGAAAGUAAGACUAAUGCCCAAUGACAUUUAUAGAAGGCAUCUGAAAUGAAUUAAAGAUUUAUCGGUGAUGGAUGGGGAUGCGUCUGAUUAGCUUGUUGGCGGGGUAACGGCCCACCAAGGCGACGAUCAGUAGGGGUUCUGAGAGGAAGGUCCCCCACAUUGGAACUGAGACACGGUCCAAACUCCUACGGGAGGCAGCAGUGAGGAAUAUUGGUCAAUGGGCGAGAGCCUGAACCAGCCAAGUAGCGUGCAGGAUGACGACCCUAUGGGUUGUAAACUGCUUUUAUAGGGGAAUAAAGUGAGCCACGUGUGGUUUUUUGCAUGUACCCUAUGAAUAAGGACCGGCUAAUUCCGUG
rnacentral:rRNA from 1 species